rnacentral:rRNA from 1 species
AGUGAACGCUGGCGGUAGGCCUAACACAUGCAAGUCGAACGGCAGCACAGUAAGAGCUUGCUCUUACGGGUGGCGAGUGGCGGACGGGUGAGGAAUACAUCGGAAUCUACUUUUUCGUGGGGGAUAACGUAGGGAAACUUACGCUAAUACCGCAUACGACCUACGGGUGAAAGCAGGGGAUCUUCGGACCUUGCGCGAUUGAAUGAGCCGAUGUCGGAUUAGCUAGUUGGCGGGGUAAAGGCCCACCAAGGCGACGAUCCGUAGCUGGUCUGAGAGGAUGAUCAGCCACACUGGAACUGGGACACGGUCCCAACUCCUAAGGGAGGCAGCAGUGGGGAAUAUUGGACAAUGGGCGCAAGCCUGAUCCAGCCAUACCGCGUGGGUGAAGAAGGCCUUCGGGUUGUAAAGCCCUUUUGUUGGGAAAGAAAAGCAGCAGGUUAAUACCCCGCUGUUCUGACGGUACCCAAAGAAUAAGCACCGGCUAACUUCGUG